GCGCCUGCAGCGGCGACAGAUUGAGAAAGGCAUCAAUGUCCUCGAUGUCCUCGCGCGACAACAUGUCGUUCUGCUGCUGUUGUUGCUGUUGUUGCUGCUGCUGCUGCUGUUGCUGCUGGUGUUGCAGCUGCAACUGCUGCUGUUGCAGCAUAUGUUGCUGCUGCUGC
rnacentral:sRNA from 1 species